UACCAAGGAGUGCAAUUGCUGGAUCAUGUGGUACAUUCGAUGCUAAAAAUUUCCCUCUAAGCACUGCUUUCACUGCAGCUCACAAAUUUCACAGUCUGACCAAUGGUCUAUGGCUUACUGGUAGAAGAAACCUUACUAAUGUCUUAUGGAUUUGACACCUGGUUCGACUGGACAGGAUUAGCCAGUAUGUCGGCACCAGUGGAGGGCAUGGUGGUCAAUGCCA